GGUUGCCGUACUGUUGGUGAAACGAGAAAGGCAAGUAAAAACACUUAUAAUAUAUACAAGAAUUUAUUCAUAAAUUUUAAAGGAGGAUCAAAAGUGCUGAUCGUAAAUAAUGCUAUAUAAUUUAAUAACUUAAAUGGACAAAGUGCAGUAAAAAAUUAAUUACGAACAUUGUAAUUAAAGCUGUGAAAAAUGUGGCCGCUGUAUUGUUUGGAAAAACAGUUUAAACAGCUGUUUAUUGUUUACAAGACAUUCCGAUAGCAAACAUUUUGCGAAAAUCAAAGCACUUAAAAACGAAAUCAAAAGAUUUUAUCCAAAUCGAAAUAGAACAAAAUUACGACUAGCGGAGUAUGCCUGAUAGAUAGAAAUUAACAAGACAAACAAUGAAAUAAAAGGACUCCAAAACAUUUUCGAAACUAUGGGCACGACAACAUGUUCUGCGAGAGAAAAUAGAUUUAAUAUAAAAAUAAAAACAAGAGUGAGAGUCUAGUUCCUCGACUAUCCGAUACCAUAUCUGAGUAGUGGAAAUACGAACGCGAAAUUUCAAAAUUUGUCUUAAUAUCUUAAUAUUGAUCAAUGAAAUGAGAAAAUUUAUUUUCAAAUUUUUGUUUAGAGUUUUUUGUAGGUGUAAGGACGGGCGUGUCUAAAGUGUUUAAGGUUCUAUUGAUUCUGACAAAAAAUAAAAGAACUGUUACCUGGUAAGUUCUUUUUAACUAAUAUAGUCUACGGGUAACGGUUAAAAUAGGGUAAAGAGUAGUUGAGUUGGUAUCCAGAAGGAAUGGAAGAAGGAACACCUCCGAGGGAUUUAUCGAAUUUGGCAGAAAUGAUUCUUCAGCCAGAGGAUGUUCGGAAUUAAAACAUACAAAGGUGCUUUGUUACAUCUGCCGCCGUUUUUCAACUCGUUCAAGCUGCGACGCAAAAGAAACCAAGAAACGAGAGCACCAACAGAUGAGAACAGGGUAGCAUCAAAAAGAUGCUUGCAAACGUGCAAAAUGAAAAGCGAGACCCCUUUAAACUAAAACGAACAAAGAUAGAAAUAAAAACCAGUUUUAAUGGGACUAAUGAUAA